AAUGCAGGCACACGCCACACGGACACGGGCAUCUCCCCAGUACCUACGACCCCAACUCCCUCCAGCGCCGUCACCACCUCCCCCUCUUCUGCGACCACCACGCCGUCCGCGCCGCCCUAAAGCACGCUGCUCCUUUCCCUUCCCAAGCCGCCCUGGAUCUGGCGAUGGAGGUGGCCGCCGUCGUGGCCAUGGAGGUCUCGCCAGCUGCCAUCGAAGUCCUACAUCCCCGAUAACGGCGGGAUUGCAGCCGCCUGGCCAAGGUCGUCGGCCCUCGACGAGCUCCUCCAUAACUUCUGGUUCCCCACAGUGCCUAUGGGCCGCCUCUCCCUCUCCAUCCUACGCUCCUCCUUCUCCACUUCAGAUUUCGGCUGAAAAUCGCCUCUCCCUAUUCCCCUUCCAAUCUGGAGCACAGGCGGAGAGCCUGGUUGUGUGCGGUGGAGAUGGCGCCCCGCCUCUGCGCCUCAUAAGGCUGGACGUAGCUCCGCCGAGGCCAUGACUUUUCCAGCGGAGGAUCACAGGUGUACUGCAUGCAGUUUCAAUUUAACCAGGCAGUUGCCAUCAUCGUGAGACUUGCCAACUUGAGGAACUACAACGAUUCUUUGUUCCAGCCAUAUCCGAUCCACUAGGCCGGAGCUUUCACAUCACCUACAACGCACGGUGCUCGCGGCGCGCCGUUGGCGCCAGCCUCGUUGCCGCACUCCCGGAACCCCUCAAGCAGCUCAUGCUCGUUCGGUCAUGCAGGACGGCGCUGUAGCACUAUCGUUGGAUGUGAAUCGCUUCAAAACCGGAAGCAGCAUGCGCGCUGAUGUGGCGUGUUUCCUCCUUUGCUACACUCUGAUUGACUGAUGGUUAGAUGGUUGAUGUUGCAGUCUGAUGAGGCCUAGCGGGUGUGGCUUCUGCUGAAAUUUUUUACACCAGCAGCUCCUGGUGAGUUUGAUCCCCUGAGUCAUUAUAGAGGAAGUGAGAAUGUCAGAAAGGAGAAGAAGAAAAAACCUUGCUCCCGGGGAUGACAUCCACACCAUUUUGUGUGUGUUGGUGGAGUGAUUGAACCAUGGCAAUCAGAGCUGACAUCACAUCUCCCUUCCUCAUACACACUUUUUGGGUAGUUGUGCAUCUAUAUUCCAUUCUACACACCAAGAAAUUAUGUUAUUUUUCUUUUACUAAAGCAGUUACGAUUUAGUAGUACAUUGUUAUCAUUCUCAACAAAUUCAUACAUGACACCUUUGAUAAGAAAGAACUUUCAGCGAUUGAGUUACUUUAUUCGACUUUAUGUUUUUCAGGAGGGGAGUCCGGGAGGUGGGACAGCCGGCAGCGGCGCCAUUCUGUUUGGGGAUGCUUGGAUCUGGUGAUGCUGGAGCAUGGGAACGGGAAACAUCACCUCAGCUAUGGAAUUUCAAAUAGCCAAUUUACCUUUCUCCCUCAAGAUUUCUUACACUACUGUCAGUAUCAUUGCUCUUGGGGUCUAGAUUUUGUCAAUAUCAAAAUCUGGAUACUUACCAGCAAACGGUUUGUUGAUCUAUUUACUUAUUCAAGUUCAUUUCUGCUAUGUUCUUCAGUCAAGCUUUAGAUUCUAGCCUUGAUUAAAUAGCAAUGAUGUUGUCCAAAACCUGCUAAUGUCAGAAAUCCUACUGCCCAGCAGGAUUUCUCGAAUUCUGGUGCAUCUGGUUUCUAUAACAUGGUUUGCCAACCACGGUGAGCACUGCUCAGUGUGUGGCAGCUUUUCAUUAGGACUGGAAACAAGAUUUGAGAUAUAGGUGUAGGUCAAAUUUUGCAAAAAUUAUGGGUCUGCAGGUACAAAGUUACAUGUAGGAAAUUUGAAUAUAGUUGCAUGAUUUUUUUGCUGACAAGUUUUCUUAUAUUUACUUCUCUUUCUAUGGUAUAGGAAUUUAUGUGCCUACUUAACUGUUCAAAGAUAUCCGUUUUGUUUGUCGAUUCGAAGUUACCACAUAUAAGCUUGAGUCCAUGUGAACUGACACACAGUUUGGAACAAAAUAAAACUUAAUACUGUAGUACAGUUUGGUGGUUAAACUACUCCUUACCUCGACAUUCUAAUAAUUUGUAAUAAUGAUAGUUGGCAUUGGUCAUCAAGACCGCUUGCAUGAAAUUAGUGGCUUGCUGCUGUUGUACUCUUCAAAAAUUCUGUUGCUUCGGUUUAUUUUACAUUUUUUAAUUUACUGUUUUUUUCGAAACAAAAGUACUAGAGAAUAUUAUUCUACAUUAUUUUCAACCGCUACAUUUUAUCUAUUUGCGGUAUGACUGUAUGGUUCUCAAUCAAAGAAGAGGCCCAACAGUCUCUUUCGGGACUUUUUAUCACCACAUAUAUAAUCUUAUUGAACUAGGAGUCGAGAACUACAAUUCCCCAAAAGAUCAUAUAUGCUUGAUGUGUGUGAACAUAUUGCAGGGAGGCAGUUCCAAUGAUGGCUCGGUUCCUGCACAGCUUCACUAAGAGGCAUAUGCUGUAUGAGAUGUUGUAUUCUCACUUCUUAGACUGUCUGUAAUCUGAUUUCCUCGCUAGGUGCUUGAUAAAAUGCCCAUCCGAGCAAACAAUUUGUUCUGUGCUACCUGAGAUGCAAGUUGGAUGUGGAGGACAAUCAUGUACAGCUCUUAGGUUCUAUGGUUAAUCUGCUUAACCUGGGAGGUGGUCAUCAAGUUUGAGAUGGAAAGUGUAGGUGCUAUGUACUGUUUUCAAUGAACCAAUAAAAUGCAUUGGCUAUUUUCUACUCAGAUUUGUUGGUUAUUUCUAAUGAAACAUGAAAAUACUUCUGAAAGGAU